rnacentral:rRNA from 1 species
UAGGGAAUCUUCGGCAAUGGACGAAAGUCUGACCGAGCAACGCCGCGUGAGUGAAGAAGGUUUUCGGAUCGUAAAACUCUGUUGGUAGAGAAGAACGUUGGUGAGAGUGGAAAGCUCAUCAAGUGACGGUAACUACUCAGAAAGGGACGGCUAACUACGUGCUAG